CGGGGUGCCCAGGGCCAAACCUUUGCCAUGGCUGAAAACGUGACUGGGGAGAUCUCAAUGGCCGGGAGGCUUUCUUGCCUGUCUCUAUGCCUAUCAAGCCUUGUGUAACAAGGGCAUGUGGAUACCAGUGCCGCCCGCCGCGGUAACACCUGUGGCUCAAGUGGUGACCUCUAUUAUUGUGGCUAAUGGGUAUGUAGCCGGCCGGAUGAUUCUUUUGGUAAAUCCUCCUGCUCAUCAACUGGGCUUUCUGAGGAUAAUGCCGGGCUCCUUACCAGUAGAGGAAGUAGGUACUUCUCGGGUAGGGGUGAAAUCUUGUAAUCCUUGAAGGACCACCACUGGCGAAGGCGUCUUACCAAAACGGAUCUUACGACCAGGGACGAAAACUGCGGGCACAAACCGGAUUAUAUACCCCGGUAGUCCUACCCGUAAACGAUACUCCCUAGGUGUCGGCCACGGUGCCACCGUGGUCGGUGCCUUAUGGAAACCAUGAAUCAAGCCACCUGGGAAGUACGGCCGCACGGCUGAAACUUAAUGGAAUUGGCUGGGGAGCAC
rnacentral:rRNA from 1 species